rnacentral:rRNA from 1 species
UACGGAGGGUGCGAGCGUUAUCCUGAAUUACUGGGUUUAAAGGGUGCGUAGGCGGCGCAGUAAGUCAGGAGUGAAAGUUUGCGGCUCAACCGUAAAAUUGCUUUUGAUACUGCUGUGCUAGAAUUAGGAUGAGGUCAGCGGAAUGUGGCAUGUAGCGGUGAAAUGCAUAGAUAUGCCAUAGAACACCAAUUGCGAGGGCAGCUGGCUAGACCUAUAUUGACGCUGAGGCACGAAAGCGUGGGGAGCGAACAGG